GCCCAUGCAUAGUGAUAUUAGCAAGGAAUAUGAGAAACAUAGCAAUCACCCCCUGUAAUAAUGUUGCUCUGCCAGCCCAAUACACGAGAGGGGGACUAUAUACGAAUCAAUGAAGCUGUCACUAUCACGAACUACCCCACGAUCUGGCAUAUUGGGUACAAUCGCAGAUAAAUACGGUAUAAGCACCACGCCUACACAAUAUCUAUCAUUUACCCAU
rnacentral:lncRNA from 1 species